UUGGUUAAGGGGGCUUUGGGGGGAAACAAGGAGCUAAUGUGCAAGCACAUACAUGGCACGGGCACUCUCCCCUCCUAAGGCCAUCUUAAGCAAACAUCUGGGCUACUUCUACAAUAGGGAAAAGAUAGGAGACAGGGCUGUUCCUCAGGAAUCGGAGAACCUGUAGUUUCUUAUUUUCAGGUUAGGUUAAUAUGCAAAUCAUGCGAAAUAUCAUGCGUCAAUACAGUAAUUAUUGUUGCCUUAAAAGCGCUUUAGCUAGCUAGAGAAUGGCAGCUUUAAUUGCAAAGCGCACACACCAUUCUGUGAUUCAUCAUUCGCUUAACAAAUAUUUAAUAAGCACCUUAUGAGAAAAGCUCCAGUAGGUUGUGUGGAGGAUGGGAGGAUGACUAAGAACCAAUCCCGUUGUCAUGGAAACCAUUGUGACUCCUGCCAUCAGCUGCCACCUGUUCUUAUUCCAGAUCUGAAAAUUAAGUCCCAGCCACCUUUACAAAACAAUCACACACACAGUUUGACUUUGGCUCCAAAAUGUCCCACCAAAUCCAUCAAAAUUACUAUUUACUUUUACAUGGGAGAACAACGCAGUAACCCUUUGUCCUUUGCUGGAAGUUGUUUUUCCAGGAAUGGAGAAAGGUUACUCUGAACUGCUCAUGUUCACCGGCUGUCCCUGCUUGUGCAUAAUAGCAUGCAGCUGAGCUCCUUCAGGGUCUGUGCAGAUGACCCAUUCGGCCACAUGGCCUCACGUGCCCUUGUCCUCUCAGACACUUCAGCGUUGCACCCUUAAGGCCGCACCUUAAAUCGUGUAGUCACUUAUGGCUGCUUGACCUCCAGGAUCUUAAGCUGGCCACAGCUGUCUCUUGCCCAUUCCUGCCUACUGAGUGUGUCUGAACUUUCCUAGUGUUCUCCAGUCUUUUAACCCCUCUAAAAUCCCCAGUUUCUCACUUCUCCACUAGAAUAAGGAAGAGUUUAGAGGCUGCAAAAAAUAAAAAAAUAAAAAAAUAAAAUGGGAAGGGGACAGUAGGGAGGAUAUCUUAGUAUGCAGAGGCUUCUGGACACGUUGCUACUUAGAAUGAAUGUUUGCCAGUGCCCUGUGGAGGUGAAGUGAUGAUGGGGAUUAUGGGUAGGAUAAAGAGAAGAAAGAAAAGAGAGUGAUGAUAAGGGACGAAACUAAAAGGUGGUAAGAAAGAGAGGAAAAGAGUUUUAAAGGCCUUUGUGGGUCAAACGAACGGCUAUUAUAUAUGUGGGAAGUAAUGAGUGCAAAGGAUGGGAAGGCAUCAAGGGUGGCUAUAAUUUUUCCAACUUGGGGGGCUGAACAGAUGAGUGAUAAUGCAUUAAUCAAGUUAAAGAGCAGUGGAGGUCAGUAAAUCAAAAGAACAGAACAGCCUUUUUGGAGUUGGAAGCUCACCUUCGGUUCUUCGGUGUUUGGGCUCACUUUUCUGGUCAUCUUCCUUUUUUCCCAGAGGGCAUGGGAAUAUCAGGUUUAUUUGCCUCGGGACUCAUUUUGGUUGUCCCAUUGGGGCUGCCUUAUUAAGCCUGCAGAGAGAGUGUAGAAUGUGGGGUCUUGGGUCCAGCCAUCAGAGAUGCCGGUGUUUAGGGUGAGGGUUUAGGAUUUUGUAGCUAAAAACGAAUUUUUUUUAAUGUUCUUCAUUUUUUAAAGAGAGGUGAGAAAAUGCAAGCCGGGGAGGAGCAGAGAGAGGGAGACAGAAUCUGAAGCAGGCCGCAGGCUCCAUUCUGGCAGCACAGAGCCCAGCGCAGGGCUCAAGUUCAUGAACUGCAAGAUCAUGACCUGAGCUGAAGUUGGACGCUUAACCAAAACGAUGCUCUGCCAUAGAUCCAGUUCCAAGAGGACUCAGAGAUGCCAACCUAAAUCUCAGAAUGUCUGCCGCUGGUGAAGGAGUCACUGCUGAGAGGUACCUGUGUCAGGCUGGGCACAAGGGACAGCUGGAGACCCUGCGCCCUGCGGAAAGGUCCGUAAACGUGGAUCAAGGGUGUCACAUAUUCACAUUUUUUCAGAUUGAUCUAGAAACCUAGGUUUUCAUGUGAAAUCUGUCGGCCACCAGCAUGCAACCCCUGGGCGAGACUGCAAAUGUAAUUCCUAUCCUUCGUGGCUUUUAAAUAAUCAGGAUCCUACCCACGGUAAGAACAAACAAUUAUUGGGAGUUCUGCUUUUAUUUAAGCCGUAGAAAGCUGCUAGGGACAUCUGCUUUCCUAUCAAUAAGAGGGAAUGAAUAAUCUACAAAAUCAUACAUUUUCUUGAAUGUAUGAGCUGAGAUCACAAGGCGGCCACAUAACCAAAUGCCAAAAAGUGGCAAGCCCUACUGAGGCGAAAGGGGACACACAAACUGUUUCUCGUUUGGCAGGGCCCUGGAGAAAAGGUGACUACCUAGAUGUGAAUAUAAAGAAAUCAAGCUAAAAUUUUCACUAAUUCCUAAAGGCUGAGUUUAGGCUAUUGGAUCAGUUUAGAAUAAGUGGGAGCCGGUGAUGAUUAAUUUUAUGUGUCAACGUGGCUAGGCACAGUACCCAGAUAUUUGGUCAAGCACUCUUCUACGUGUUUCUAUGGGUAUCUUUUAGAUGAGAUUAACAUUUAAAUCAAUAGACUUUGAAUAAAGCAGUUUACUCUCUAAUCAUAUGGUGGGCCUUACCUAAUCAGCUGAAGACGUUAAAGAAAAAGACUGAACUUCUCGGAGGUAGAGGGAAUUCUGCCAGCAGAUUGCCUUCAGACUGUCGCUGCAGUCUUCCCCAGCCUGCUGGCCUACUCUGAAGAUUUUGGACUUGCCAGCCUCCAGUAUUGCAUGAACCAAUUCCUUAAAAUAAAUCUGUUUUCUCUUUCCUCUCUCUUAGAUGGAUGUUAGUAUACACAUAUAUCUAUAUAUCUCUCUAUAUUUUUAUGUUGGUUCUGUGUCUCUGGAGAACCCUGACUAACACAGAGUCACAGACACAAGGAAGGCUUAUGUUCACUUGCAAGGUCUUCUUUACGGGUGUUCCCUGGGUGCUCAAACGGAAGAUGUGAGGGAAGACAGGAGACCAGAGAGCACCUCCCCCCACCCCCAUGGUGGUGUAGAUUUGCAGGAGCUGACUGCCUGUUGCAGGGGACAGGCACAAAUCACCCACAUCUUAUGGCCUUUCUUUUAUUAAAGCCAAAAAGUCUUAAGCCACUAGGGUAGGGAAAGUAGACCCUCCUGUCCCCAGGGCCACCAGGGGAGAGUGCAAAAUCUGUCUCUAUCCGGGGGAGGGUAGGAAACCAUCCAUAUGACUCUCAGGAACCCAGAAGAUGUCUAUUACUUCAGAAGAAAGGGUAGAAACAAAAGCUGUUUGCUUUGCAGUAGAGGUGGGGCAGAGGGGUAGGGAGAGUGAACAUGAAAACCUCUUGGGUCCAAGAACCUGCACUGAUAUAGAGCAGAGGUAGACUACUCCUGGGAGAGAAACAGGUACCUCUCUCCUGCCCAAGGCCCACCAAAGACACAAGACAGAGUUUGGUUACCAUGGGGGAGGUGAGGGGAUGUGGGGAGUAACAUUGAAAAGGUUCCACUCCCCAGGCCCAGGGGCACAGGACUUGCCUGAGACUGAGGCUGGACCAGGAGAGUCAAGGACCGCAACCUGCCGCCCAUCACAGCCUAGCAGCAAGCAGUCUGUUGUUGAGGAGGAGACAAGACGGUGGAGAGAAACUCCACUCGAUGGU